GACGACCGCUGGCGGCGUGCCUAAUACAUGCAAGUCGAACGCAGUGGGGACGGGUGAGUAACACGUGGGUAACCUCCCAUCAGAGGGGAUAACACUUGGAAACAGGUGCUAAACCGAUACUGAUGGAUGGACCCGCUGUGCAGUAGCUAGUUGGUGAGGUAACGGGUCACAAAGGCCACGAUGCAUAGCCGACCUGGGGGGGUAAUCGGCCACACGGGGAAGGAAACACGGCCCAGACUCCUACGGUGGGCGGCAGUAGGAAAUCUUCGGCAAGGGAGGAAAGUCUGACCGGGCAACGCCGCGUGAGUGAAGAGGGUUUUGGGAUCUUAAGACUCUGUUGUUAGAGAAGCGGUAUCUAACCAGAAAGCCACGGCUAACUACGUGCCAGCCGCCGCGGUAAUUC
rnacentral:rRNA from 1 species